AAGAGACACAUGAUGGAGCAAAGACUGUUGUGGAAGGAACAGAAUUCUGAAGCUUGCAACACAAACUGGAAAGACAGCUCAAGUCCUUUCAGACAAUGAACAACAGUGGAGAGGACUGUCUCCACAAAAUGAGUCAGGAGGGGCAGUUUUGCCACCAGAGAAGAAUUCCUCUUCACCAGCUGUGGUAUCAUUUAACAAUGACAGCUCUCYGGUCUCAGUAUGAAACAAUUUUAUCGUCUGAAAAGAAUCCUGGAUUCCUUCUGUUACCUGUUGAGCAGAUCCAGCAAAGCAGCAGCAAACUAUCAUAGCAUCCUUCUGCUGGAGAGUUCACCAGGGCAUCACACACCAGAGACUAGGUGAGUACGAAGUUCUGUGUGUCUC
rnacentral:lncRNA from 1 species